AGAUUGAACGCUGGCGGCAUGCCUUACACAUGCAAGUCGAACGGCAGCACGGGAGCAAUCCUGGUGGCGAGUGGCGAACGGGUGAGUAAUACAUCGGAACGUGCCCAAUCGCGGGGGAUAACGCAGCGAAAGCUGUGCUAAUACCGCAUAAGAUCUACGGAUGAAAGCAGGGGAUCGCAAGACCUUGCGCGAAUGGAGCGGCCGAUGGCAGAUUAGGUAGUUGGUGAGGUAAAGGCUCACCAAGCCUUCGAUCUGUAGCUGGUCUGAGAGGACGACCAGCCACACUGGGACUGAGACACGGCCCAGACUCCUACGGGAGGCAGCGAGUGGGGUAAUUUGG
rnacentral:rRNA from 1 species